CAAUAGCGUAUAUUAAAGUUGUUGCGGUUAAAAAGCUCGUAGUUGGAUUUCUGCCGAGGACGACCGGUCCGCCCUCUGGGUGAGUAUCUGGCUCGGCCUGGGCAUCUUCUUGGAGAACGUAACUGCACUUGACUGUGUGGUGCGGUAUCCAGGACUUUUACUUUGAGGAAAUUAGAGUGUUUCAAGCAGGCACACGCCUUGAAUACAUUAGCAUGGAAUAAUAAUAUAGGACCUCGGUUCUAUUUUGUUGGUUUCUAGAGCUGAGGUAAUGAUUAAUAGGGAUAGUUGGGGGCAUUCGUAUUUAACUGUCAGGGGUGAAAUUCUUGGAUUUGUUAAAGACGGACUACUGCGAAAGCAUUUGCCAAGGAUGUUUUCAUUGA
rnacentral:rRNA from 1 species